rnacentral:lncRNA from 1 species
UGGCAAGAGAGAAAACUUCUGCUCUACCUGUGACAAUCAUAACUACAUAUUGUUCAUAAUAUGGAUAUACCAUUCACUUAAUGUCAGCAAAACUGCUCAGACUACUAAAGGAGCAUAUUUGUGGGCAUGUCUGACUUGUAUGAAGAUGUGCAUAUGUAAAUGUUAGCUCUAAUGAGCAUAAAGGGAAGAAACCUGUGACAGAAAAGGAGGCCUCUGUCAUACCCAUACUCAUUUUCAAUGGAGUAUUUUGGGCUUUGCAUAAGUACAAAUACAAAUGUGAGAUUGAACCUCCUAAUACAAAUGAUCCAGUGUACAGUGUAGCAGCUAAUAACAGCUCAAAUUCUGGAAUCAUCACCUCUAUCUGAAUUCCAUUUCACCCAUUGUGAACUGGAUCAUUGUGGGCAAGUAAGUGUUUAACUACUUAAAAUCAACUUUCUAAUCAGGAAAGUUGUAAUAGUAAUAGUAAAAUCAGCAUGGUUUUGGAAAUAUUAACAUAUUUA